rnacentral:rRNA from 1 species
CCUACGGGAGGCUGCAGUGGGGAAUAUUGGACAAUGGGCGAAAGCCUGAUCCAGCCAUGCCGCGUGUGUGAAGAAGGCCUUCGGGUUGUAAAGCACUUUCAGUGGGGAAGAAAGCCUUGGGGCUAAUACCCUCGAGGAAGGACAUCACCCACAGAAGAAGCACCGGCUAACUCCGUGCCAGCAGCCGCGGUAAUACGGAGGGUGCGAGCGUUAAUCGGAAUUACUGGGCGUAAAGCGCGCGUAGGCGGUCUGAUAAGCCGGUUGUGAAAGCCCCGGGCUCAGCCUGGGAACGGCAUCCGGAACUGUCAGGCUAGAGUGCAGGAGAGGAAGGUAGAAUUCCCGGUGUAGCGGUGAAAUGCGUAGAGAUCGGGAGGAAUACCAGUGGCGAAGGCGGCCUUCUGGACUGACACUGACGCUGAGGUGCGAAAGCGUGGGUAGCAAACAGGAUUAGAUACCCGGGUAGUC